AGCUGGCCAUCCUCGGGACUCCAGUCAAAUGCCAUGUUUGUCCAGGUACCUGCAGCUUCACUGCUCCUUGGAGGAAAUGCCCAUUCUUUCCGUUUUAUCUCCUCGGUUUGCAGUUUCCUGACAUGGUGACAGUUUGAUUUGAACUUAAGGUCCCGAUGGAGAACCAUAGCGAGCGUCCUCUCCCUGUUUCUAAAGAUGAGACACUGUGACUGCAUUUGUUUUUUCCUCUUUGUUCAAAGCUCAGUAGUAAUAGUAAUAGCAACAGUUGCCAUUUAGUGCUAAAGUUGCUAGAGUGCUAGAGUUAGCGUUUGAACUCCGCCUGCCUGGCUUCAGGGUCUGUGUACUUCAUGGCCAGGCUCUGCUUCCUCUGGGAUUAAAUAAUCUUUGGCAAAAUAUGUCACCACCAUGAAUGGAACCUUUUGCUUCUUCCCUAUACUGCCACAACAGAUGUCUGGUAUCCCCAGGUAUCAGGAUUCCCAACAUGUUCUCAGAAGUCUCAGCCCACAAGCUGG
rnacentral:lncRNA from 1 species